rnacentral:lncRNA from 1 species
CCACAGGCAGCUCAACUGGGGUAUAAGCCAAACGUCUUCUCCUUCUGGAUCCUUUUUCUUCAACUGAGGUUGAUUGAUUAUUGCAAGAAUGAGCAUAUGACAUACUCAACAAGCCACACAGCAAAUAUGCAAGUGCACAAGGAUACCAAAGGAUGGCAUAAUAUAGGCUCAUUUGCGAAAGCAGCAUUUAGCAAAGAGUUAAGAGUAGUAAAACAGUAGAGUAAUUAAUUAAAAAUUUUAAUCAACACUGAACAGCACACCCAUGCUGUACAGGCCCAACCAUCCUGAACAACCAUACCCGGCUGUACAGAUCUAACUCCAAACCAGGAGCUAGGCAAAUUAUUAUCAGGUAUUAACAUCCAUAAUUAUUGUGAGAGGUGUGAGACUAAUCACGAAAAACAUUGCUCAACCCGCCCAUAACCGCGGGCACGGCUAUUCGAAUAGUUUUACUCUGGCCAGAGGUGUACCACUGUACCCACAAGACACAACCCCACAUCAUGUCACCAUGUGCCUCAAUACCACCACGGUACCUCGGAAAGGAGUUGUGACAAUACCCCUUGCACAACAUAAUCCAUUACAGCGCACCUUUCCUGGAUCAUAAUCACCCCCUCAAAAACCAGAGGCAUGGACUCUCCAGCGACCCCCGUGGACUUCUCGCCACUUCUCAGUCUGGCGCACUAUAAUGAAUCACGCUAUACAAAAGAUAAAGCCGUUGCCCACGCUGGCUUGUGGUUGGCACGGUAAAUGUCUCACAACAGUAGCUCGCGAACCGGUCCUUAAUUGUCAUGAGCACGACUCUCAAAACCAUGUGCUCACAACCCACCAUUAUCAAGUUUUAGUUGGCAAGUAAUUAAUUAACCAAUCACGAUUAACCAUCGUGAACUAUCAUUAAGCCAUCCUUAAAUAAUAGUGAGUCAUAAGUUAUCCCAAUAGUGUGCUAAUGUUUCUAAGCAUGGCUAAGCAAUCAUAACUAAUAUCUAGCUGAACCAAUAUAUAAAGCCCAACUAGUCAAGUUAUAAUAACCCAAGGUAUCAAGGAAUAAAGUAAUCAAUGCAAAUUGGCCAUAACAAAGGAAUAAGUUCACACCACUCGGUGACAUUCGAAAAUAAAUGCACAGUUGAAAUAAAUAGAGAAUUUAAAUAUAGGAUCAACAUGCUCAAAGGAUUGUGUUUAGGAUCUGUGUGACUUGCCUUGCAAUAAUCGGCCUUCAAGUAAUCUUCUUGAUCACUUCCGACGCACUCACGAACCUUCGCAACGACGGAAACGACAAGCUAACACGCAAAACGAAGAAAAAGACUAAUAAAAACCAAAUAAACAGUACAUAUAAAGUAAACAAACAUGUAGAUCAUGAUUUUAGAUGAAUUUAGCAACUUGAACCACUCAAAACCGAGUUACGAUGAUUUAGUUAUGAAUUUCCGAAGAUUUAAUCUAUUAGAAAAAACUGGAAAAGGAGAAGAUGAUGACGUCAUGAUGACAUCAUCAAUGGCCGGACCAAGAUGGCGACCUCGCCGGAGAUAGAGCGACCGGCUGCGGAUUUGGAGGACAUGAACACGUAGAGGACGACGAGACGAACCCAACGAUACUCACCCUCGUGCCAAACGACGACCGACGACGGCCGGCGACGAGGAGGCGACGGCGGCGGCUCGGGUUGCACGGGGCGGCGGAGCUCCG